rnacentral:rRNA from 1 species
UCGAGCGGACAGAAGGGAGCUUGCUCCCGGAUGUUAGCGGCGGACGGGUGAGUAACACGUGGGUAACCCUGCCUGUAAGACUGGGAUAACUCCGGGAAACCGGAGCUAAUACCGGAUAGUUCCUUGAACCGCAUGGUUCAAGGAUGAAAGACGGUUUCGGCUGUCACUUACAGAUGGACCCGCGGCGCAUUAGCUAGUUGGUGAGGUAACGGCUCACCAAGGCGACGAUGCGUAGCCGACCUGAGUAGGGUGAUCGGCCACACUGGGACUGAGACACGGCCCAGACUCCUACGGGAGGCAGCAGUAGGGAAUCUUCCGCAAUGGACGAAAGUCUGACGGAGCAACGCCGCGUGAGUGAUGAAGGUUUUCGGAUCGUAAAGCUCUGUUGUUAGGGAAGAACAAGUGCAAGAGUAACUGCUUGCACCUUGACGGUACCUAACCAGAAAGCCACGGCUAACUACAUGCCAGCAGCCGCGGUAAUACGUAUGUGGCAAGCGUUGUCCGGAAUUAUUGGGCGUAAAGGGCUCGCAGGCGGUUUCUUAAGUCUGAUGUGAAAGCCCCCGGCUCAACCGGGGAGGGUCAUUGGAAACUGGGAAACUUGAGUGCAGAAGAGGAGAGUGGAAUUCCACGUGUAGCGGUGAAAUGCGUAGAGAUGUGGAGGAACACCAGUGGCGAACGCGACUCUCUGGUCUGUAACUGA